UGGAUCCAGACUUUGAUUCUGGCUCAGGACGAACGCUGGCGGCGUGCUUAACACAUGCAAGUCGAACGGAGAACUUAUUUCGGUAAGUUCUUAGUGGCGAACGGGUGAGUAACGCGUGGGCAACCUGCCCUCCAGUUGGGGACAACAUUCCGAAAGGGAUGCUAAUACCGAAUGUGCUCCCUCCUCCGCAUGGAGGAGGGAGGAAAGAUGGCCUCUGCUUGCAAGCUAUCGCUGGAAGAUGGGCCCGCGUCUGAUUAGCUAGUUGGUGGGGUAACGGCUCACCAAGGCGAUGAUCAGUAGCCGGUCUGAGAGGAUGAACGGCCACAUUGGGACUGAGACACGGCCCAAACUCCUACGGGAGGCAGCAGUGGGGAAUCUUCCGCAAUGGACGAAAGUCUGACGGAGCAACGCCGCGUGAGUGAUGAAGGUCUUCGGAUUGUAAAACUCUGUUGUUAGGGACGAAAGCACCGUGUUCGAACAGGUCAUGGUGUUGACGGUACCUAACGAGGAAGCCACGGCUAACUACGUGCCAGCAGCCGCGGUAAUACGUAGGUGGCAAGCGUUGUCCGGAAUUAUUGGGCGUAAAGAGCAUGUAGGCGGGCUUUUAAGUCUGACGUGAAAAUGCGGGGCUUAACCCCGUAUGGCGUUGGAUACUGGAAGUCUUGAGUGCAGGAGAGGAAAGGGGAAUUCCCAGUGUAGCGGUGAAAUGCGUAGAUAUUGGGAGGAACACCAGUGGCGAAGGCGCCUUUCUGGACUGUGUCUGACGCUGAGAUGCGAAAGCCAGGGUAGCAAACGGGAUUAGAUACCCCGGUAGUCCUGGCCGUAAACGAUGGAUACUAGGUGUAGGAGGUAUCGACCCCUUCUGUGCCGGAGUUAACGCAAUAAGUAUCCCGCCUGGGGACUACGAUCGCAAGAUUGCAACUCAAAGGAAUUGACGGA
rnacentral:rRNA from 1 species